rnacentral:rRNA from 1 species
GGAUAGCCACUAGAAAUGGUGGGUAAUACUGUAUAAUCCCUGCGGGGGAAAGAUUUAUCGCUACAUGAUGAGCCUAUGUUAGAUUAGCUAGUUGGUAGGGUAAAGGCCUACCAAGGCGAUGAUCUAUAGCUGGUCUGAGAGGAUGAUCAGCCACACUGGAACUGAGAUACGGUCCAGACUCCUACGGGAGGCAGCAGUGGGGAAUAUUGGACAAUGGGCGCAAGCCUGAUCCAGCUAUGCCGCGUGAGUGAAGAAGGCCUUAGGGUUGUAAAACUCUUUCAGUAGGGAAGAUAAUG